AUUGAACGCUGGCGGUAGGCCUAACACAUGCAAGUCGAACGGCUGCACAGUACUUGCUCCUUCUUACAGCGGCCGACGGGCGGGCAGUGCCUAGGAAUCUGCCUGUCUGUGUUUGCUAGCGUCCUAAAGCAGGCGCUCAUACCCCAUUAGCCCUUAGGGCCUACGUGUGGAAUCUUCGGACCUCACGCCCUCGCACGAUCCGAUGUCGGAUUAGCUAGUUGGUGGGGUAAAGGCCUACCAAGGCGACGAUCCGUCACUGGUCUGAGAGGAUGAUCAGUCACACUGGAACUGAGACACGGUCCAGACUCCUACGGGAGGCAGCAGUGGGGAAUAUUGGACAAUGGGCGAAAGCCUGAUCCAGCCAUGCCGCGUGGGUGAAGAAGGUCUUCGGGUUGUAAAGCACUUUUAGUGGGGAGGAAAAGCAGUAAGUUAAUACCCUGCUGUUCUGACGUUACCAACAGAAUAAGCACCGGCUAACUUCGUG
rnacentral:rRNA from 1 species